rnacentral:rRNA from 1 species
UAGCCUUGACAUUGAUAGAAUACACCAGAGAUGGAGUAGUGCCUUUCGGGGAACUUGAAAACAGGUGCUGCACGGCUGUCGUCAGCUCGUGUCGUGAGAUGUUGGGUUAAGUCCCGCAACGAGCGCAACCCUCGUCCUUAGUUGCCAGCAGGUUAAGCUGGGCACUCUAAGGAGACUGCCUUCGUAAGGAGGAGGAAGGUGAGGACGACGUCAAGUCAUCAUGGCCCUUAUGGCUAGGGCUACACACGUGCUACAAUGGGGCGUACAGAGUGUUGCGAUACCGCGAGGUGGAGCUAAUCACUUAAAGCGUCUCUCAGUUCGGAUUGGAGUCUGCAACUCGACUCCAUGAAGCUGGAAUCACUAGUAAUCGUAGAUCAGCAAUGCUACGGUGAAUACGUUCCCGGGUCU